UGGGGAAUCUUGCACAAUGGGCGAAAGCCUGAUGCAGCGACGCCGCGUGCGGGAUGAAGGCCUUCGGGUUGUAAACCGCUUUCAGCAGGGACGAGGCGCAAGUGACGGUACCUGCAGAAGAAGCCCCGGCUAACUACGUGCCAGCAGCCGCGGUAAUACGUAGGGGGCAAGCGUUAUCCGGAUUCAUUGGGCGUAAAGCGCUCGUAGGCGGUCCGUUAGGUCGGGAGUUAAAGACCGGGGCUCAACCCCGGCCCGCUCCCGAUACCGGCGGACUUGAGUUUGGUAGGGGAAGGUGGAAUUCCCAGUGUAGCGGUGGAAUGCGCAGAUAUUGGGAAGAACACCGGUGGCGAAGGCGGCCUUCUGGGCCAUAACUGACGCUGAGGAGCGAAAGCUAGGGGAGCAAACAGG
rnacentral:rRNA from 2 species